rnacentral:rRNA from 1 species
UACAGAGGGGGCAAGCGUUGUUCGGAAUUACUGGGCGUAAAGGGCGCGUAGGCGGCCUGUUAAGUCGAACGUGAAAUCCCCGGGCUCAACCCGGGAACUGCGUCCGGUACUGGCAGGCUUGAAUUCGGGAGAGGGAUGCGGAAUUCCAGGUGUAGCGGUGAAAUGCGUAGAUAUCUGGAGGAACACCGGUGGCGAAGGCGGCAUCCUGGACCGAGAUUGACGCUGAUGCGCGAAAGCGUGGGGAGCAACAGG